rnacentral:lncRNA from 1 species
CGCUGGACGUAAAUGAUGAAGAUAAAUUAAAAAAAAAAAAACGCUUCGGACGCAUGGAAUUUAUAUCUUUUUUUCACCAACUAUUGCAGAUCUUUUUGUUGCUUAUGAUUAUCGUGGUCUGACAUCUGUCACAAACUAUUUUUUCAAAGUGUGUAAAACUAUAAAAAUAAUUGUUGACACAAUGCAGGAGGAGGAUGUAAGGUUAAAUUUACCUGCAAUAGGAGACGAAAUGAUACGUUAACUCAUGCAAGAUCGGGAGUUUAGCGAAAAACACCGAUGCUUAUGAAUGUAUGAAAUAUGCAUCGUAAUUUCAUUUGAACAGUUGCGUUUACUACCAAUUUGAAAGUUAAACAUUUCAUCCGGAAUGAUCUACUAGAAUAUUGUCAAUAAUAAAUGUAAUAUUCAGAAGACGCAAAGUUUCAUUUAUUCCUUUUAUUUUUUAUUUUACCUUUUUUCAAUUUUCAUUUUUUUUUUUACCUUUCAACCAAAUAAUGUUAUUUUCUAUUCUUAACUUGAGUGCCUUUUUUCUUUAUUCUUUUUUUUAAGGGGUGGGGUGGGGGGAGGGGAUGUUGUCUUUAUUUUUUUUUAUUUGUAAACCAUCUCAUAUAUCUUGAAUUAUUUCAAAUAACUAUCUGAUAUUCAAGCGGAAUAGGAUGCAUAAUUCUACUAGCAUAAGAGGAUCUACUAGAAGAAGCUGUUUAUUUGGUCGUUUAUGGUUGUCUUAAAAUUAAAGUCAGUGAGAUUUAUAGACUACAGC